UUCUGGAACCCAUUGUAAAUUUGAAGACUCACUCAACCGUUUCUUUUUUUCUUCUUUUUGUAGAACAACGCAGAUAUAAGAGCAAUCAUACCAUAUCGUGUAUAAGAUAAUUUUGAUAUUUUUAAUCAUUAGCAACAAAUUACAGAACUGAACGAAUCUGUAGAGUCUACAGUGGAGUGUCUAAAAUAGAUAUUCUUCUGAUCAUGUACUAAUUAAUUAGUUAUUUUGAUAUACCAUUGAGAAGCAAGAUUAAAAAUAUUAUUUUUAAAGGAAUAAAUAAAAAGAAACAAAUAAUUAAAUGAUUCAGAUCAUUUACAAGUAUCUAUUAUGAGCAUAUAUAUAUAAAUUAUUAUUUUAAAAUGAUCGAAAUUGCGUUUAACUUAUGCGAAAUGAUAAAUUUGCUAAUACUAUACCUAUCUGUUAAAAUAUAUGAAUAAAAUAAUUUAAAUACGUA